GACAGAGGGUGCAAGCGUUGUUCGGAAUUACUGGGCGUAAAGCGUGUGUAGGUGGCUGCGUAAGUCGGAUGUGAAAGCCCUGGGCUCAACUCAGGAAGUGCACUCGAUACUGCGUAGCUCGAGUACCGGAGAGGUUGGUAGAAUUCUCGGUGUAGAGGUGAAAUUCGUAGAUAUCGAGAGGAAUACCUGUGGCGAAGGCGGCCAACUGGACGAGUACUGACACUGAGACACGAAAGCGUGGGGAGCAAACAGG
rnacentral:rRNA from 1 species